rnacentral:tRNA from 1 species
GGGGUUGUGGCUCAGUGGUACAGCACCCACCUUGCACGUGUGAGGCACUGGGUUCGAUCCUCAGCACCA